rnacentral:tRNA from 1 species
UCCUUGGUAGCCUAGUGGACAGGACUCUGGGCUUUCACUCCAUGGCCUAGGUUCAAUCCCUGGUCCAGGAA